rnacentral:lncRNA from 1 species
AUGAAGGACUAUGUCCUCUUUAGGAAAGACAGGCUGUGGAAGCGAGGGGGUAGGGUUGCCCUUUAUGUGAGGGAGCAAUUACAGUGUACCCAGCUCCAGCUGGGGCAGGGUCAAGGACAAGUGGAGAGCUUGUGGGUAAGAAUUAAGGGGUGGGCUGGUAUGGGAGAUAAGGUGGUAGGGGUCUACUACAGGUCUCCAGAUCAGGAGGAGGAAGUCGAUGAGACCUUCUACAAACAGCUGCUAGUAGCCUCACAAUCACGAAUGCUGGUCCUCAUGGGGGACUUCAAUUACCCAGACAUCUGCUGGGUAAGCAAUUCGGCCAGGCAUGAGCAGUCCAAACAGUUCCUACAAUCCGUUGAGGACAAUUUUCUGACGCAGGUGGUGGAGGAGCUGACGAGGCGGGGGAUGCUCCUGGACGUCGUUCUUACCAACAGAGAUGGCCUUGUUAGAGAUGUGAAUGUUGGGGGCAGCUUGGGAUGCAGCGACAAUGAGAUGUUGGAGUUCCAGAUGGAACUAGGCAAAGGAAGUAUGGCUAAAAGCAGGAUUGCUACCCUGGACUUCCGAAGAGCCAACUUUCACCUCUUCUGGGACCUGCUUGGGAGUAUCUCAUGGGAUAGGUUGCUAGAAGGCAAGGGUGCUUGUGAGAGCUGGGCUACAGUUAAGCAGCACUUCUUCCAUGCUCAGGAUCAGUGCAUCCCAAAGAAUAGGAAAUUGGGGAAAGGGGGCAGGAAACCUGUGUGGAUGAGUAAUGAGCUCAUCAAUAUGAUCAAAAGGAAGAGGAAAGUCUAUGAAAUGUGGAAAAAGGGCCUGUCCUCUUGUGGGGAGUAUAGAUGUGUUGUCAGGGCUUGCAGGGAUGCGACAAGGAAGGCUAAAGCCCACCUAGAGAUGAGGCUUGCAAAAGAGAUAAAGGAUAAUAAAAAGGUUUUUUUCAAGUAUGUAAACAGCAAGAGGAAGACUAGGGAUAAUGUGGGUCCCUUGCUGAAUGAGGGAGGUGUCCUGGUCAUGGGAGACUCUGAGAAGGCAGAGAUACUGAAUGUUUUCUUUGCUUCAGUCUUUGCUUCAAGGACACUCCCCCCAGGACUCCUCGCCCUUGACAACAGGACAAAGGGUCUGGGAAAUGGUGGGCUUCCUCCUGGUGGAUGUGGGAGUGGUUCAGGAGCGUCUGAGUGGGCUCAACAUACACAAAUCCAUGGGUCCCGAUGGGAUGCAUCUGCGUGUGCUAAGGGAGCUGGCAGUUGUGAUUGCCGAACCACUCUCUAUCAUCUUUGA